AUGCAUUUAAUAAAUAUUUACCGAGCAUUUAUUAUGUAUCAAGAGUAUGCUCACUUCUGAAAAUACAGUCGAGAAAAAGGAGAGGCAAGAUCUUAGUCUUCACAGAGCUUUCAUUCAAGAGGGUGAAAUAGACUUGUAACAAGUAAAACACAUUAACAUAAUUACGGACUCGAGAUCUCGUCAAGACGGCGGUGUGAGCAGACAUUGAACUCGUCUCCUCCCAGGAACGCAACCAGAUUACGACUAUUUUUGGAAAAAUUACCCCAGAUUGAAAACUGAAAACUGGAUAAAAAGAAGCCCCACAACAAGGGACAGUCCUGACGAAGGCAGAGGAGGCAGUAAUUCCGGCCGGAGAGGACAAAAGCCACCUUUGGGAGCAGCGGAGCUUCUCGGCUGGCCAGGCGGGAGCCACCCUAAGGCUCCUUCUUUCCAGUGUUACCUUUGUUCUCUGAACACACUUCAUGCUUACAAACCUCUCUAGGAACUUAGGAGUCAGAGAGAGCUGAGGAGAAGAGAGUGCCAGGAGAAGAGAAUCGAAGAGGCAUUGCACGUGCUGGAUGUGAAAGAAAGGAACUCAGAGAAGAGUAAGUGACUGAUUCCGCCACCACCGAAAAUUUCUACAGUGUUGUAAGAAGACUUUAAUAAUUCAAAUGCCACUCUUUGAGAGAAGUGACAGUAUGCAUAUAAACAUAGCACGGUAAACGUUUAGAGUCUAAAUUAAACUCCGGCUGAGAGGUUUUUCCCAACAGAUUUUAAAUUCACAGAGAGAUGCUGAACGAUUGGCCUGAACUGACUGGUCUCUUGGCGAGGCUGAAAGCAAGAUGCCCUCUGGCUGCUCUCUCUCCCUCAGAUGCUGCCGAGCGUCUGCUGUGGCCUUUGGCAAAAGUAAGGAUUGUGCCUUGAAAACACCAUUUUGCCUGAGAUAAUUGUCUAAGGGUUGGGGACUGUUUACCUCCUAAAUUUCCAGGAUGGAGCCUUUGCACAUGUGUUGUAUUACUUUGUUAGAUUUUUAUAAAAAGUGAGGCAUGUGAGUGAGUGGUGUUGAGUGAAUUCAGCUGCCAGUAUCCUGAAGCUAUCACAAUGAGUUUAGUUUCCUUAAUUUAUAUUCUCCGAGAACAUCAUCCGUUUUGUACAGGAUUUCAAACACGCAUGCGGAAAGUGGCUUCUAACCUUGUCUUUGAGUCAUUUCCUGCUAAUAAUUUCUCUUUCUGUGCUCCUCUUAUUGUUUCUUUUCUUUCUUUCCCCUUGACUCGUUUACCUAAUGGCCUAUCUAUCAAUAGUUUGUUCAAAGAAUUACUUCUUGGAAUCAUUUUCAUUAAUUUAUAUUUUAACUUUGUUAUCAGAACUUCCUCUCUGGUAUUGCGUUCGUUUACUUAUUUUUUGCCAGCAUCUUGAAUUGGAUGCUUAUUAAUUUUUAUUCUUUCCUUUUUUUUAAAUGUAAGCAUUUAAGGCUAUGAAUCUUCCUCUCAACACAACUUUACCUUUAUCACAUAGUUUCUAACACAAGUUAGUUUUGUUGUUAUUAUUUUCUAGAUGGCUGAUAGUUUAUUUUUUAUUUCCAUUUUGACUCAACAGUUGUUUUUUUUUUUUUUAAAUCGUGUGGUAUGUUUUUCUUUUCUGGUUUUGUUAUUAAUUUCUAGCUUUUUUAUUUUGUGAUCAAAACUAAGUUGCCUUUGCUAUUUUUACUUUUCAAAAUUUAUUGAGUUCUUUUUGCCCAUUAAGUGGACAAAUUUUGUUAAUGUUCUGUGGAUAUGUAAAAAAGUAAGAAUAGUCUCUCCUUUCAUGAUAUAAGCGUUGAAUGCACAGUGAUUACAUGCUACUUUAUUAAUUACAUUCUUUAGGAUGCCUAUAUUUUUUCUUAUUAUUUGUAUACUUGCUAUAUCAAGAGUGAGAGAGGUAAAUUAAUAUUCCUUAUUACUAAUGUAUUUGGCUAGUUCUCCUUGUAUAUCCUAUGCUUUUAAUUUUGUUAAUAUUAGUGCUAUGUUAUUUGACCAUAACUGAAAUUCUGCCUUGUAGAUUGUAUACAUUGUCUUACAGGGCAUGCUUCCUUGUAUAGUUUAUGUUUUUUUAUGUGUGUGGUUCAAAAAAAGAUGAUUAUGGCAUCUGUUUUCUUUUUCACUUGCCUUAUAUAUAUUUGUCCAUCUUUUUAUUUUUACUUUUCCCAUUUGUUUUAGGGGUCUCCAUGGCCAAACUAAUAGGUAGAUUUAGCUAACUAAUAUAAAAGACAUGUUAGGUGUUUUGUAUUUUAUCAUAUUACUGUAAUUUUUUGGUUUUUAUAUUUUUGUUUUUGAAACUUGCAAUAUGGUUUGAAUUUAUUUUGCUGCUUUCUUGUUUUGUGUAAUUUAUAAUCAAUUUGCAAUUAUUGUGAUUUUUUUCCUGAUGGUUACAUUUCUAACUGUAAAUUUAUGUAAUGCCCUUAAUUCUCUAUUUCUUAAUGGAGAGUCUAUUGCCUAGUUACUGUCACUAAUGAUAAAAUAAUUAUAUUUCUAUGUUUUCCCGUCUUAGAUCUUUCCUUUCCAUAUGUGAUCUUCUUUAAUAAUAAUGCUUAGUCUUUACAUUUAUUGCUUUCAUUGUUUUCAGACUUCAAGU
rnacentral:lncRNA from 1 species